UACGUAGGGGGCAAGCGUUGUCCGGAAUCAUUGGGCGUAAAGAGCGUGUAGGCGGCUCGGUAAGUCCGCUGUGAAAGUCCAGGGCUCAACCCUGGAAUGCCAGUGGAAACUGUCGAGCUAGAGUCCGGAAGAGGCGAGUGGAAUUCCUGGUGUAGCGGUGAAAUGCGCAGAUAUCAAGGAGGAACACCAAUGGCGAAGGCAGCUCGCUGGGACGGUACUGACGCUGAGACACGAAAGCGUGGGUAGCAAACAG
rnacentral:rRNA from 1 species